rnacentral:rRNA from 1 species
AACGCGAAGAACCUUACCUGGGCUUGACAUGUACGUAGUAGUGAAGGGAAACCGGAACGAGCCUUCGGGCAGCGUAGACAGGUGCUGCAUGGCUGUCGUCAGCUCGUGUCGUGAGAUGUUGGGUUAAGUCCCGCAACGAGCGCAACCCGUGUUGCUAGUUACAAGUGUCUAGCGAGACUGCCGGUAACAAGCCGGAGGAAGGUGCGGAUGAUGUCAAGUCAGCAUGGCCUAUAUGUCCAGGGCUACACACACGCUACAAUGGCUGGUACAAAGAGAAGCGAAAGGGAGACCUGAAGCGAAUCUCAUCAAAGCCAGUCAUAGUUCGGAUUGCAGGCUGCAACUCGCCUGCAUGAAGUCGGAGUUGCUAGUAACCGCAGGUCAGCGAAUACUGCGGUGAAUACGUUCCCGGGCCUUGUACACAC